UCCAGACUCCUACGGGAGGCAGCAGUGGGGAAUAUUGCACAAUGGGCGCAAGCCUGAUGCAGCCAUGCCGCGUGUAUGAAGAAGGCCUUCGGGUUGUAAAGUACUUUCAGCGGGGAGGAAGGCGAUGGGGUUAAUAACCCUGUCGAUUGACGUUACCCGCAGAAGAAGCACCGGCUAACUCCGUGCCAGCAGCCGCGGUAAUACGGAGGGUGCAAGCGUUAAUCGGAAUUACUGGGCGUAAAGCGCACGCAGG
rnacentral:rRNA from 1 species